GACAGAGGGUGCAAACGUUGUUCGGAUUUACUGGGCGUAAAGGGCGCGUAGGCGGCGUGACAAGUCACUUGUGAAAUCUCCGGGCUUAACUCGGAACGGUCAAGUGAUACUGUCGUGCUAGAGUACAGAAGGGGCAACUGGAAUUCUCGGUGUAGCGGUGAAAUGCGUAGAUAUCGAGAGGAACACCUGCGGCGAAGGCGGGUUGCUGGGCUGAUACUGACGCUGAGGCGCGAAAGCCAGGGGAGCGAACGGG
rnacentral:rRNA from 1 species